rnacentral:snoRNA from 1 species
UUGAUACGAACAGCUUCCUAUUCACUGCACCAUCUUUUCUAUUAAUAGGUGACUGGAGGGGAAAAGGAAAGCAAGAUAAAAUUUUUUUUUUCAACAACGACCUCAUACUGGGCAUUGCUAAUUUUUAAAAAAAAAAAAUUUUUAGAAUCUUCUAUGGCAUUAGCUAGUAACUGCGUUCUUGAUACAUAU